UACGGAGGGAGCUAGCGUUGUUCGGAAUUACUGGGCGUAAAGCGCACGUAGGCGGCUUUGUAAGUUAGAGGUGAAAGCCCGGGGCUCAACUCCGGAACUGCCUUUAAGACUGCAUCGCUUGAAUCUAGGAGAGGUGAGUGGAAUUCCGAGUGUAGAGGUGAAAUUCGUAGAUAUUCGGAAGAACACCAGUGGCGAAGGCGGCUCACUGGAGCUGGUAUUGACGCUGAGGUGGCGAAAGCGUGGGGAGCAAACAGG
rnacentral:rRNA from 1 species